rnacentral:misc_RNA from 1 species
UCUGGCUUGCCACCAGCAGUCUCGUGAGAGCUUGUAACUCACGACAGGGGUUGCGCUCGUUGCGGGACUUAACUCAACACCUCACGGCACUAGCUGACGACAGCCGUGCAGCACCUGUGCACCACGCCCUUGCGGGCCACCGAGUUUCCCCGGCUGUAAGGUGCAUGUCAAGCCCUGGUAAGGUUCUUCGCGUUGCGUCGAAUUAAACCACACGCUCCGCUGCUUGUGCGGGCCCCCGUCAAUUCCUUUGAGUUUUAGCCUUGCGGCCGUACUCCCCAGGCGGGGCACUUAAUGCGUUAGCUGCGGCACAGAGACCGUGGAAUGGCCCCCACACCUAGUGCCCACCGUUUACGGCGUGGACUAC